rnacentral:rRNA from 1 species
GAGCGCAACCCUCGCCUUAGUUGCCAGCAUUCAGUUGGGCACUCUAGAGGGACUGCCGGUGUCAAACCGGAGGAAGGUGGGGAUGACGUCAAGUCCUCAUGGCCUUUAUGUCUAGGGCUACACACGUACUACAAUGGCCGGUACAAAGGGCAGCCACUCAGCGAUGAGGCGCUAAUCCCAUAAAGCCGGUCUCAGUCCGGAUCGCAGUCUGCAACUCGACUGCGUGAAGUUGGAAUCGCUAGUAAUCGCGGAUCAGCAUGCCGCGGUGAAUACGUUCCCGGGCCUU